CAAAAUGAGAUGUGCUACCUGGCAAAAUAAGAAGAAGCCAACGAGUAGCAACUAGAAACCUAGUUUUGUGGUGAGGCUGAGGUAACAAGAUUCAUCUUCACUCUUUUCGUUCAAUCAAUUUCUCAAACACCUUCUCUUCACUCUCUCACAACAAUGGCAACCUCUCUCACUUUCUCCAGGCUCCUUUCAUCUUCCACCACCACAUCACUCUUAUCUCCCAAAACCAGAACCCUCUCUUCCACCUUCACCCUCCCUCUCAAAUUCAACCGUCUCCACCCAAAACCCCUCAGAUUCUCCUCAUCCCCAAAAAUCUCCGCCACAAUCUCCGUCGGCGACAAGCUUCCCGAAUCCACCUUCUCUUUCCUAGACCCCGCCGGCGAGGUCCAAACCAUAACCGUUUCCGACCUAACAAAAGGCAAAAAGGCCGUCCUCUUCGCCGUCCCGGGAGCCUUCACACCCACCUGCUCUCAGAAACAC
rnacentral:lncRNA from 1 species